ensembl:lncRNA
ACAAAAGCACCAUGAUAUUUUCGUUUUUUGCAUUUAGAGUGCCUUAUAUUUAUGCCUGUUCUCUUUUUUAUAAUAUUAAUUUACCAUGUACCGUUUUGAGUAGUCCAGUAUUUAUCUAUGUAUCACUCAUUUUAAUUUCCAUUAUAUGAGAUUAUAUAUGCAAAUAACGUCCAUCGGUCCUGUUUUCUUUCCUUACUGAGGCCUUACUCCGGCUCAGUGAACGGGCGAAAAAGGUGAAUUAGUUGGUAUAAUAUGUGACUAUCGUAUUCUACGCUUUACAGCUCAGUCGCAGCAGGAGGUCCAGAUGAGCUGUUCUCACUAGUUCUGUUUCUCUGAAGACCAAACCGUCACGGUGGAACAAAUCUCGCUGUUUCGAGACAGUCUCCGGAGAGAGGGGCGCACAGUGUACACUCGAACCGAAAGGGAACUCGCUGAGCCUUUUUUCGCCUUGUCGUUAAAUACAGGACAUGGAGACUUGGUACCUAUGAAAUAAUAAUAAUAAUAAUAAUAAAACAAAACACUCAUUGGAAGCAUGUGUGGAAAGUUGUAAACGGUGAGGGGCGGGGUUAGCGCUCAGAGCUAUUCGCUAUUGCGGUUCCUUUCCUGUGAGUUAUGACGCGGACUAGCUUCGUUAAUCUCGACAAUCUUGUAACAUACUAAGCGAUGGACCUGCGAUGAUCUUUUAUUGUGUAACAUAGCGGACGUGAUGUUCGAACUUUUUGCUGGUUUUUAUUUACGUCAAUCGUCGGGCUUGUGGAUGUGCAUUCCAGGUGCUUUCUUUCCCUUGUCUCAUUUCAAACAGUUCUCUUUGGGUUUGUCCCCACCCCCCCACCCCGCCAUCUUUUAUGUCGAGACAGCCGCCAAGCUACAAAGUGCUAUUAUUUAGCUUCACAUAAAUGUCAGCGCCACCUAGUGUCAUCGUUAAGUAUUUUCACAAAAUUUCACGGAUGUCUGUGUUCAACAGGGUGUUGUUUUUUUUCUCGUUUUUUUUUUCUUCAUUUUUUAAAAAACUUUUUUCCAUCCUCAACCUUAUUUCAAUAUGCAUGGGAAGCUUCGCAGAGGGCCAAUGGAGGCCUGGUAGGAAGAAUUGCACUUUCUCUAUCUUUGUACUAUGCACUGCCCUAUUGAUUCUAUACCCAAUAAUGUAUUACUUGAAAGCAUCUGUAAGAAUUCUCCUUCAGCGUUCAUGUUGUGUGUAUGUAAAUAACACAAACUGAUGGGAUGGGAUGGGAAGGGAGGGGUGGGGUGGGGGUGGGGCGUGAGGUCUCGCAUUUAAAAAAAAAAAAAAAAAAUGUGGCAAAAAAAACGCAUCCUUACUGGUGCCAUGAGAUCUUCAGCAGGAGAUUUUUUGUUUUUGUCCCCUUCAUAAGUUUUGUGGCUUUGCCAUUCAAGACUGGAGUGUCAUAACAGAAAUCAACGUGGUGUUCUCUGCUCUCUCUCUCUAUCUAUCUCACGUCUGGAUGCAUAGAUUGAAAUUAAUGAAUUCAAUUGUAAAAAAAAAAAAAAGAAAAGAAAAAAAAACGAAAAAAAAAUGGCUUGUUAAAAAGAAUCAUAAAAAAUUACCUCCGAUUAGUUGUAAGCGUAAUUUUUGUUUCUUUUAUUUUUAUUUUUUUGUUGUUGUUUCUUUUACCCCCCCCCCCCCCCCCCCCUGAACGAAUGGAGUGCUUUUUAUUUUCUUACAUAGGUUCUAUUGGUGGCGGAAGACGUCUGUACGACGAGCAGGUCUUUGCUGACUCAAGGUCCAUUUGUUAUAAAUGAAUUCUAUUAAAAAAAUGUAAGUGUUAUGAAUUAGAGUCUCACUCUUCUUCUGUAGUCUCAUCAUCGUGGCACGGCGAUCGAUCGCGGCUUAUAGUUCUGUUCUAGUGACCCGAAGGUCGUGACAUGCUGCUAACCCUGAACCGUUCAGCUUCUGACACACUUGUAGGUAAGUUUCUUGGGAUAAAAUCGAAUAUAGAAUGUACAACGGAUAUAAAAGUUUUACACCGCCCUGUUCAGAUGGCGGGUUUUUCCAAAGUAAAAGAACUAAGGUCAAUCAUGUCAGAACUUUAGCCACCUUUAAUGUGAAAUUGCAAAGUAUUCAAAUGAAAUCAGAAACUAAAGCCAUCAAAUUGUGAAGGCGUUUCCUGUGCACAACCCUCUUCAGGUCACCCCACAGAUUUGCAGUUGGAUUCAGGUCUGGGCUCUGGCAUUCAACAACCUAGAUCUUCUUUUGUUAAGUCCAUUCCUUUGUUGAGCAGACACCUGAAUGUUUUGCUCUAAAAUGGACUGGCAUGUAUAAUAAUCCACGAUUCAGUCCACUUUGAUAAAAGCCCAAGUUCUGGCUGAAGAAAAGUAGCCCGAAAGCAUGAUGCUGCCACCACCGUGCUUCACGGUGUUCAUUUGGUGAUGUGCUUUUUUUUUUUUUUUUUGCUGUUGCACCAAACCAAAUCUUUUGGUAGUAUGGAAUUAUUAUACCUUUUGGAAUUGGUCUCGGAUCAGAACACAUUUUGCCACACGGUUUGGGGUGAUUUAGUUGAGCUUGGAUCUUUUUUGUGAGAAAGCGGUUCCGUCUAGCCGCCCUACCCCAAAACCCAGAAAUGUGAAGAAUACAAGGAAUUGUACUCACAUGCAGAGAGUAAUCAAUACAUAUUCUUAGUCGGCUAUUCCUGCAGCUUCUUUAAUGUUACUGUAGGUCUCUCAGCAGCCUCCCUGGUAAGUGUUUGGUCUCGUCCUUUUAUACGUUUUGGAUGGACGUUCUUGGUGACGUCACUGUCGUGCUCCAUUUUCUCCACUUGGUGGCCUUCACAAUGUUUCAUGGUACAUCUAAUGUUUUGGAUGUUCUUGUAUACCCCUAACGUGAUUGAUUCCUUUUGACAAGUGAGAUACCAUGCAUGCUUUGUGAGCUCUUUGCGGACCAUGGCUUCAAAAGUCGGAGGAACCCAAGAAGAUAUGGAGAAACUCCUACAGAAACAGCCGGUCUGUUCCGAAUAAUUUCAUAGAUGACAGCUGUAUGAUAAUUACUUUUGAACAUGAGAUCGAAUGUGAAUGGGUCAUUCUGCACAAAGCCACACCCGCAAUUGUAAAAGGGUGUGCACACUUAUACAACCAGGUCAUUGGAACUUUUUCUUACUUUUUCCUUCAAAUGUUUCCGAUUGUUUUUCUCUUCAUUUUCAUACGUUCUGAUCUCACACCGAGGCUUGAAAAUGUUCGGACCUGACUUGUCUCAGUUUCAUUUGUCUUACUUCAUAAAGCCUGCCAUUUUAUCAGGGGUGCGUAGACUUUUUAUACCCACUGUAUAAUUGUAAAUGCUUCUCCAGGUUCUGCUUCUUCAGCACAGAGAUGCAGAUACAAAUGCAGUCAGAUCAAAACGUGAAUAAAACUCACCUGGUGGAAACGACAAUUCCACUGAAAAGGAAAGGAUAUGUGGCAUGAAGGAUAUUUUUAUUAGCUGCUUUAUUAGACGUAUUUAUGAGCCUUAUGAGAAUAGAAAAUGGGAGGAGUUCAUCACAUUGGACUUUUGUCUCUCUUUUUAGUCCUUACUGUUGCUUGGUGCACAUCUGGAAAAUAAAUAAAUAAAUAAAUAAAUAAAUAAAUAAAUAAAUAAAUAAAUGUCUCAUCCACUUUACCACUCUUGUGGUAAAAUUCUGUUGACCUUUGCUAGGAUUUUCCUCUCAGAAAUUCUUCUUGUGCGAUCCAACAUUGAAACUAGAAAGAAAGUGAGGCUGAAUAUUUUAUAUAAAAGUGCAAACUAGAAAAUGAAAAAUAAAAAUACAUUUACAAGGUGGAUGGUUUGAUGGUAAGUUUAAGGUGCGGCCAGCUAAAAUGGCGAAGCAGAAAUACACCCGACACAAAUGUCCUCCUCCCCUCCUUCUGUUGUCUUCAAUAAGGGCAAUAAUUGCCACGAUGGCCAUCAUUAAAGCCUCAAGAACACCUAAAAAUAUAUAUAUAUUAACUACUGUUUCCCCCACACUGAUAGUUCAGAAGACCACAUCUUCAGGAAGUAAAAUUUGGGAGAUAAUUUCACAGAAUUUUCUUGACUGUGUGUAUUGUAUUUUCAAAUGAAAAUAUUUGAGUUGAAAUAAAACAAGAAAAAAAAAUUACUUUUGGUAUUUGCUUGCUUUUUAAAAAA